GGCCAAAGUAUUGGAAUUUCAGCUUCAGCAUCAGUCCUUCCAGUGAAUUUUCAGGACUCAUUUCCUUUAGGAUUGACUGGUUGGAUCUCCUUGCAGUCCAAGAGACUUCUCAAGACUCUCAAGACUCCCAACACUGUAGUUCAAAAACAUCAAUUCUUGGGCGCUCAGCUUUCUUUAUAGUCCAACUCUCACAUGCAUACAUGACUACUGGAAAAACCAUAACUUUGACUAGACAGACCUUUGUUUGCAAAGUAAUGUCUCUGCUUUUUAAUAUGCUGUCUAGGUUGGUCAUAGCUUCUCUUCCAAGGAGCAAACUUCUUUUAAUUUCAUGGCUGCACUCACCAUCUGCAGUGAUUUUGGAGUCCAAGAAAAUAAAGUCUCUCACUAUUUCUAUUGUUUCCCCAUUUAUUUACCAUUAAGUGAUGGGAUGAUAGGGUCGCAAGUACUCUAUAGAGGCUAGUGGUUCUCCAGGCCCUGGGAGGAAGGGCAUAAUUUAGAUAUGCAGAAGAGAAUGUGGAAGACUUUCCAGGAAAAAGAAAAGAGCAAAAGUGUAGUGUUUUGCAGCAAGCAGAGGGUGUUCUGGGGCAGGGGAAGGAGCUGGAGAGAAUGAACAUUGGCUCCAGCUGCUUCCAUGGAUGUAGCAGGCAUGUGGGCCCACACUGGCCAUUCCUGACCUUGUUUGGGAAUUGCUUUGGUAACCAAGAAUGCAUAAAAGAAGCUUCCUGGGCCUGCCCUCACCUCUUCCCAUGCCCUGCACGCAGGCCUCAUGCAGACCACUCUCGUGCUCCAGCAGCAGAAGUAGCAGAGAGACUGGAAGGCAGAGCUGUUUGAUUUCUAAGGGCUUCCAAUCCAGCCAGGUGGAAGGCAGCCAGGGAGGCAGCAGCUGGUGACAGCCUGCCUUACUGCCUAGAUAGCAGGCUGCUACCCAAGGGAACAAUUGGGCAGAAAGGGGGGUGGCCAGUCAGGGAACACGGGCCAGUGGAAUUCUGAACAAGGUCAGAGUCCAAUCUGGUACAGUGCUUGAUUACCAAUUUAAAUCUCGUCUUUCCUUCCAGGGUGGCUGCCACCCCUGCAGAAGAGGCCAAGGCUGCCACAAGGGACAUUUGCAUUUAAAGAGGCCAAGUGCCCGGCAUCCUGGCAAGGCUGAGGCCUGGCCUGCACGUUCAUCCCAACACCAGAAGGUUGCACGCUGAGACCAGCUGCAUAGAUCACUGACUGGCUGACACCGACGGGC
ensembl:lncRNA